rnacentral:rRNA from 1 species
GUGGACGAACCUCUGGUGUACCGGUUGUCACGCCAGUGGCAUCGCCGGGUAGCUAUGUUCGGAAGAGAUAACCGCUGAAAGCAUCUAAGCGGGAAACUCGCCUUAAGAUGAGAUAUCCCUGGAGGCUAGACCUCCUUGAAGGGUCGUUCGAGACCAGGACGUUGAUAGGUCAGGUGUGUAAGCGCAGUAAUGCGUUCAGCUAACUGAUACUAAUUGCCCGUAAGGCUUGAUCCUAUAACA